GAAAGGGUAAACCAUUAAACCCUUAACCCCGUAGUCUUUCCAACAACUUGGGUUCUCCAUAAGCAAAAAAAACUACUCCAAGAUUUCCAGUUUCAGCAAACCAAAUGGAAUCACAAAGAGUUGAGGCCGUCCCUCGACACCCAAAAGAGAGCAAACUCCAAAACCCAGCUCAUGUUCCAUCCAUUUCAAGAAAAGAUUCAAUAUUUUCUAUGCCUAACCUUCCUGCAGAACUCAUCACAGAAAUCUUGUUAAAGCUUCCGGUCAAACCCCUCUUGCGAUUUAGUUGUGUUUCAAAAUCAUGGCUUGCACUAAUCUCUAGCCCUGAAUUUGUGAAAACCCAUCUCUUAUUAUCCGCUAGUAAUAAGAACUACACCCACCAUGGAGUUAUUUUUGAGGUAUCUAAUGAUAACCACAACGUUAAGGACUGUUCUCUUAGCUCUUUACUUUACAAUUCUGUUACUGAGGCAUUUGACCUGGAUUAUCCUAGUAAAAAUCCCAAUCAUUUUCCUCGGAUUGUGGGUUCUAUCAAUGGUUUGAUUUGUCUUGUCAUUAGUUCGUUUGACGGUUUACCUGACUUGUUUCUAUGGAAUCUAUCAGUUAGAAAGUACAGGAAAUUGCGUAAUUAUAGACUCAAUGUAAGCCGCCGUUACCAUGAGGAUGAAUGUGUUGAUUUUAAUUUUGGUUUUGCUUAUGAUGAGUUCCAAGAUGAUUACAAGGUAGUGGGUGUUUUCCCUAUUUACAGAUAUGUACAUUUGUGUCGUAUUGAGGUUAAAAUAUAUAAUCUAAAGAGUAAUUCUUGGAGAAGUAUUGAUGAUUUUAAAGGUAGGUUGUUGUUGGAUGAUCAUUCGGGUAAGCUUGUGAAUGGGAAGCUUUAUUGGCUUGACAGGGGAUGGAACAUCGUUUCUAUUGAUUUGACUGAUGAGAAAUGGGCAGAGGUAGAGCAGCCCUGCUCUUUUAAAAAAUGUGAUUUUUUGAGUCUAGGAGUGUUCAGGAGUGAUCUUUCUGCGUUUUGUAAUGAAGCAUGGACUCAUGUAGAUGUAUGGGUUAUGAAGGAGUAUGGGGUAAAAGAAUCUUGGGAAAAAAUAUUUACCAUCAAGUCUCCUGUUGAUUCUACGGGAAAUAGAUUCCACCCACUGAUUUUAAUGUCAAAUGAAGGUGAAAUUUUGCUUCAGUUUGGAUCACGUUUCACGAAUUACAAUUCAAAGGAUGACUCGAUCAAAUAUCUAGAUGUCACCAACUUUGCUCCAUCUCUUGAAGCACAAAUCUAUGUUAAAAGCCUAGUUUGUCCCUUUUUACCACGAACGCAACAACAACAACGGAGCUGAAAUAACUCAGAUGAAGACAAUCAUGUGACUAAUAUCAUUUGUAGCAUCUCCAGAAGGCCUUCUUCAUCCUUCGUCUUUAACUCCAGCAAAUGUUUCUACCGAGCUUUGUAUGGUUCAACUCUGUAAAGUUCAAUAAGGGCAAUCAGGUGAAGGAUGCACCUCACUGAAUGAUCAUCUUGGUUAAUGAAUGGAUGAGAUUCCGAUGUUUGACACAUGCUGUGGGCUGGUGUAGCUUGACUUACUCUCUGCUGAUGGAUCACCUUAAAAAAUAUCAUUUGCAGCUUCGAGUUCUUAUCUAGCAAAAGUUCCAAUGAGAAUGCUGGAGAAGGGGAUUGUAAUCCAGCUCUUGUACCUUCUGUUGAGUAUCAAGAACCUAACAACUUCCUAUAUAGAACUGUAUAUAGAGAUGUUGGGUAGUAGAUAUGCUUGUGAUGCAAUGCUAUGUGAGACUGUGACCACUUUACAAGGCAUAUAAGCUUAUUUUCGUCCUUGAUUGAAGUCAAAGUAUUUAACCAUGGUAAUUCCCGAUUCAGGUAUUGUUAUUUCUUGUGUAAUAACAUGCAUUGUUAUUUAUUUUAUAUAGAUAAUAUAGAUAAUUCAUGAAUUAUUAUUCAUGUAUAAUUAAACAGUGAAACAGACGACUGCUUACGAGUUCCAUUUCGAUGGACGUCCUUGAGAUUGUAAAGAGGCACAGAAUUUUUUCUC